rnacentral:lncRNA from 1 species
UAAUGGGUGUAGUGGGUGAGUGUUUGGUAAUGAGUGGAUGUAAUGAGUUUGGUAAUGAGUGGAUGUAUUGGGUUUGGUAAUGAGUAGAUGUAAUGGGUGUAGUGGAUGAGUGUUUGGUAACGAGUGGAUGUAAUGGUGUAGUUGAGAGUGUUUGGUAAUGAGUGGAUGUAAUGGGUGUAGUGGAUGAAUGUUUGGAGUUGUGGGUCAACACACUUGCACACACACAUGCUGAUUUCUAGCCUUCAAAUCUUCAAAAAUGUCCAUC